UUUAGCUGUUUUUUUUUUUCUCUCCAUUUCUCUGCGAUAAAACUUUUGCUCUAGUUUUAAAUACAAUAUUCGUGAAGAAACUAAAAUCAGUUCUAUUUCAUUCUCAGCACUUGUUGGAAUUUCUAUAAUAAAAAAAUGAAGUUCUUUCUCUUUUCAUUGCUAUUCCUUUUGACUUUUCAAAGAAUUUUGUGUAUUUUAACGAAUGAUUUGAAAAAUGAAAGAAUGAUCUACCGGAAUGGAAAAUUAUUUUACAUCAGCAAGAAUAAGUUGUCCUGGCCAAAGGCUGAAAAAGCCUGUCUCAGUAAAGGCAUGCAUUUAGCCUCAGUACACAACAGUGCAGAACAAGAAGCAGUUGCUGAACUAUCUAAACGUGUAUCUGAUAGUGUCUGGAUCGGUGGCUACAACUAUCAAGGCAAUCAAUGGCGUUGGAUUGGAAAUGGUCACUUCCUGGGUCCCUUCAGGAAGUGGAUUAGAGGAAUGCCAGAUAACUACAAAGCCAAGCAAAAUUGCAUUCGUCUUGAUCAUGCACAAAGGCACGAUUGGGAUGAUAUUGAAUGCUUUUACGAUCUAUAUUAUAUUUGUGAUUACACUGUUAUUGAAUAAUGUUGUGAAUCUACAAGAAUUAUGUUCAAUAAACUCAAAAAAAAAAUAAUAAAUUGCAAAAUUAAAGAAAAA